UAAACUAGGAUUAGAUACCCCGGUAUUGAUAAUAAAAGAGGAUUCGUAUGUAGUGAGAAUUAAUAAGUUUGGCGGUUAUUAAUUAGUUAGAGGAGCUUGUUAUUUAUUAAGAAUUUACUCUUUGUAUUUAAUUAGUAUAGAAGGUUUAUUCAUCUCCGUUAUUAGAUUUUUUUGAAGUAAAAUUGAUUUUAAAUUUCAGGUCAAGAUGUAGCAUAUAUACUAAAGAGAAUUAGCUACAAUUAUGAAAUAAUUGGAUUUAUGAAGAUAAAGGUUGGGAAUAAUGAAAUUGAAUUUGAUUGUAAUA
rnacentral:rRNA from 1 species